rnacentral:rRNA from 1 species
AGACCAAAGUGGGGGACCUUCGGGCCUCAUGCCAUCAGAUGUGCCCAGAUGGGAUUAGCUAGUAGGUGGGGUAACGGCUCACCUAGGCGACGAUCCCUAGCUGGUCUGAGAGGAUGACCAGCCACACUGGAACUGAGACACGGUCCAGACUCCUACGGGAGGCAGCAGUGGGGAAUAUUGCACAAUGGGGUGCAAGCGUUAAUCGGAAUUACUGGGCGUAAAGCGCACGCAGGCGGUCUGUCAAGUCGGAUGUGAAAUCCCCGGGCUCAACCUGGGAACUGCAUUCGAAACUGGCAGGCUAGAGUCUUGUAGAGGGGGGUAGAAUUCCAGGUGUAGCGGUGAAAUGCGUAGAGAUCUGGAGGAAUACCGGUGGCGAAGGCGGCCCCCUGGACAAAGACUGACGCUCAGGUGCGAAAGCGUGGGGAGCAAACAGGAUUAGAUACCCUGGUAGUCCACGCCGUAAACGAUGUCGAUUUGGAGGUUGUGCCCUGAGGCGUGGCUUCCGGAGCUAACGCGUUAAAUCGACCGCCUGGGGAGUACGGCCGCAAGGUUAAAACUCAAAUGAAUUGACGGGGGCCCGCACAAGCGGUGGAGCAUGUGGUUUAAUUCGAUGCAACGCGAAGAACCUUACCUGGUCUUGACAUCCACAGAACUUUCCAGAGAUGGAUUGGUGCCUUCGGGAACUGUGAGACAGGUGCUGCAUGGCUGUCGUCAGCUCGUGUUGUGAAAUGUUGGGUUAAGUCCCGCAACGAGCGGUAGAUCAGAAUGCUA